rnacentral:misc_RNA from 1 species
UUUUCCUUCUGGUUAAAGAUUUUAAACUACCGAAGCCUUACACAGCGACUCUAAAGAAGUUGUGCAGUCUUACCCAGGUGAAGACAAUACCGCCGGAAUGCUGUGAUCACGUAAGUGUACCAGCAGCCUAUUCUCCAGGCCCACAGAUCAAGUGGCGGUGGUCCAUGGUUGCAAACCUCAUGGACUCUAAUAUGACCGGUUCUAACCUCAACGGUUAAGAAUUCAACGUUCCGUAGGUGAACCUGCGGAAGGAUCAUUAAUGAGUUAGGGUCUUCCAGGCCCAACCUCCAACCCUUUGUAUAACUACCAUGUUGCUUUGGCGAGCCCGUCUUUAACCGGACCGUCGGGGGUCUUAAACCUCUGGUCAGUGCUCGUCAGUAGCCCAAAACAAACACUUUUUAAGCAUGUCAAAUCUGAAUUUAGUUAAAUAAAUCAAAACUUUCAACAACGGAUCUCUUGGUUCUG